GGCUCGGCACAGCUCGGCUCAGCAUCACACGGAUUAGCACGGCGCGGCGUGGCCUUGCGUGGCUUGGCAAGGCAUGGCGCAGCUCUGCUGGCACGGCAUGGCUGGCACAGCUCGGCGUGGCUCGGCUUGGUUCGCAGGGCAUGGCGUGGCGCUGCUGGCACAGCUCAGAACGGCAUGGUGUGGCUCAGCUGGUGGGGUUUAUCACGGCACGGCAUGGCUUGGCUGGUGUGGUUCGUCAUGCCAUGGCAUGGCUCAGCCAGCACACUAUGGCAUGGCAUGGCUUGGCUGGCACGGUUUGGUGUGGCACGGCGCAGCUUGGCUAACACAACGUGGCUCAGCUUCGCACAGCCCAGCACAGCUUGCCAUGGCACGGCGUGGCACAGCACAGCUUGGCACCCCGUCCCUGCAGGAUGACCCUGCUGGCUCCCUGCCUGGGUGCAUGCCCAGCACACGGUGAAGCUGCUGCCAGGUCAGCGGUGUCGCCCGAACCUGGAGUGCCAACACAGUUUGCGUGUGUACAUAUUUAUUUUGCACACAGUGUAAUCACCAGCGUUUAAAUUCCUUUUAUCAGCAGCAGCACUUGGCUGUGGCAGGGUGUUUUCUGCUGUUGCAGGAAUGGGCACGAGGGCACCGAGUGCUGCAUGCUGUCACCAGCCCUUGGGGUGCACCUGCGGAGGGGAACCGGCCCCACAGAAAGUGCCAUUUCCUUGCGUUGCAACCCACAACACUCGUUUCUCUCAGUGGUUUUCCACUCUGUUUGGUUUACACUCUUAAAAAUUUCACCAGGAACAGUGCAGCGUCCCAUGGGCUCCACCUGAGAGAGUGGGAGCUGGGGGUACCAAGUUCAUAGGGCAAGGGGGUGAUGCUGGAGCACAGAAUCACCUCUUGGUUUGGGGUCCCCGCUGCAGGAGGGAGACAGAGACGUGCAAUGAAACACACCACCCCCUGGCAGAUGCUUUAUGUUCCAGCAGUGCUGCCAUUAUUGAGCCCAUAGGGCCACCCCUCACAGAGCCUGUGUGCUCUGGGUUCUGGGAAGUGGCUCUGCUGGGUUCACCAGCACCAACACGGCCAUGGCACGGCCCAGCGUCGCUUCUCCCCUGCUACUGAUCACUGACUGCCAGACUGUCAGUGUCCCCUCUUUGGGGGCUUUUCUUCUUUCCCCCCCCAAAGCUGACCUCAAGAUUGAUUCAAUCCGGACAGCGCUGAUGCAGGAGGAGAGGCCUCUGUUCAAAGGAGCCAUUCAAGUCCGAAGGAAAGAGGAAAAAAAAAGUCUUUCCUCAAGCUAAUUCAAGUUGCGUGCCAACAACAACGCAGCGUUAACAAAACAAAAUGAUGCUCCUAUACCAAAUAAAAUUAUGCUCCUAUACCAGUAAGAGAGCAAAACGUAGACCAUGGCCAACGCGUUGUGUAGGCCCUAGUGCUUUUGCACUCCAUUUUUAUUGGGUUUGGUUUCUAUACCAGUGGGAGCACAAAACGUUGUCCAUGGUCAACGCAUUGCGUAGCCCUCAGUGCUCUUAUUCUCUGCUUUUGGUCUUUUGGGUUUUCUCCUGUACCAGUAAGAGCACAAAGCAUAGUCCAUGGCCAACGCAUUGCAUAGCCCUUGGUGCUCUUCUCUAUUUUUGGUCAUUUGAGUUUUGCCCCUGUGCCAGUAAGAGCACAAAAUGUACUCCACGACCAAUGCAAUUGCAUGGCCCUUGGUGCCUUCACUCCCUAUUUUUGCUCUUUUGGGUUUUCUCCUGUACCAGUAAGAGCACAAAACAUUGUCCAUGCCCAAUGCGCUGUGUAGCCCUUGGUGCUCUUCUUCUGUUUUCCCUCUUUUGGGUUUGCUCCUGUACCUCUAAGAGCACAAAAUGUGCUCCAUGACCAACACAACUGCGUGGCCCUCGGUGCUCUUGUUCCCUAUUUUCAGUCUUCUGGGUUUGCCAGGUCCCACCGUGGCCCCAUGGCCGCUCCCUGGCUCUGCUCCGCGCCGAUCGCAGCAGAACAAGUGCAUAAAAAUGAUCUUAUUUAUUACAGGAGACAUGUUUUAAAACAACUGACAAAAUCGCAAGAUGUAAAACGACAAGCGAGCGCUUUUUCUUUUUUAAACCCGUAUAGACUUCUGGCAAUGAUAAAAAUAGUGUUUUCCUUUUUAAAGUUGGAAUUAAUCUUUCUUUCGAAAGCAAUCAUGGAGCGGGAGAGGCAGGAAGGCACUCAGAUAUUAACUGGCACUCGCUGGGUGAUGGUUACUUAUGGAGGAGCCGGUGGCCGCUUUCCUCUGCAGAGCGAUCGGCAUUAAAGAACGGCGCGAACAUUAAAGGGAAGAGAGCCAUGCAAGUUAGGGCAGCGCGGGUUGAGCCGGCCUCCUCUUGCCACCUCGUGCCUCAGUUUCCCCAUCUGUGACGUGGGGACUGGGCAGAGCCCCCCAGCAUUCGGCAUCACGGCCCUUUGGGGGUGCUGCCCCCCCCAAGUGCCAUGGAGCCGUCUCGGUGGGCACGUCCAGCACUUAGCAUCGCUCAUACCUCUGUUUCCUUUAGUUCUUUGCCAGUGUUAGUUAAUUAAACUAUGCAAAUUAAAACAACUUAAUUUAUAUAAUAUCAGUGCCGGAGCCUCAAACCAUUUGGUGUAGCUCAUCUGGCACGUACGUUACAUAAAAUGUUUGGAGCGGCUCUAAUAAAAAUGAAAAAGGCUGUAAA